rnacentral:rRNA from 1 species
GACGAAGGGGGCUAGCGUUGUUCGGAAUUACUGGGCGUAAAGCGAGUGUAGGUGGUUGUCCAAGUUGGAUGUGAAAGCCUUGAGCUCAACUCAAGAAAUGCAUUCAGGACUGGGCGGCUAGAGGACCGGAGAGGAUAGUGGAAUUCCCAGUGUAGUGGUGAAAUACGUAGAGAUUGGGAAGAACACCAGUGGUGAAGGCGGCUAUCUGGACGGUUUCUGACACUAAGACUCGAAAGCGUGGGGAGCAAACAGG